rnacentral:rRNA from 1 species
UACGGGGGGGGCAAGCGUUGUUCGGAAUUACUGGGCGUAAAGGGCUCGUAGGUGGCCAACUAAGUCAGACGUGAAAUCCCUCAGCUUAACUGGGGAACUGCGUCUGAUACUGGAUGGCUUGAGUUUGGGAGAGGGAUGCGGAAUUCCAGGUGUAGCGGUGAAAUGCGUAGAGAUGUGGAGGAACACCAGUGGCGAAGGCGACUCUUUGGCCUGUAACUGACGCUGAGGCGCGAAAGCGUGGGGAGCAAACAGG